CUCGUGACACGCUCUGGCUCCAUAAACACAGCCAUUAUCCCUCAUGCCUUUUCCACAGUUGGGCGGUGCUGACGUGGAGAAGUCAAGGCACAGACAGGCUGACACUGAGAAAUGGGAGCAGUAUCUGAAACAAAGGCUCCGGAUGGCGUCAUGUUUCCACGUGGCUGGCCUGGAGACAGAUGGCACAUUUGCUGGGCGCUGCUUGGGAGAAGGGGACUUAUUCUGGGCUAAAGACAAAGCCCUGGCACCCCCCGGGACAAGCUGACAGGCAGGAUGGCAGUGUGCCUCUUUCCGAGCAAGAUCUGAAGGAGAUCCGCCCAGAGGUGACUGGGCUCUCUCUCGCCAUGAUGUGAGUCACUGCCUGUCUUCUCUGCCCAGGCCUGAGAGUGGCCUGAUGGAGCUUAUCUCCACCCUGUGAUCGCUGGUUUCAUGAGAGAACCAGAUGCGCAUGUGAGAAACCUUCCUCAUUUUUCCCCCCGAGAACUUCUGCAGAGGAGGUGUGACAAAGCCAUUUACGCUAACAGUAUGAUGUGGUGUAGAGGUGGGGAUAAUGGAGGCUUGCCAGGUCUGACCUUGAAGAAUAUUCCAGAAAACUCC